rnacentral:rRNA from 1 species
AUUAGCUAGUUGGUAGGGUAAUGGCCUACCAAGGCUACGAUGGUUAGCUCGUCUAAGAGGAUGGCCAGCCACACUGGAACUGAGACACGGUCCAGACUCCUACGGGAGGCAGCAGUGGGGAAUCUUGCGCAGUUGGGGAAACCCUGACGCAGCAACGCCGCGUGGGUGAUGAAGGCCUUCGGGUCGUAAACGGCUAACUCGGUGCCAGCAGCCGCGGUAAUACGGAGGGUGCAUGCGUUGUUCGGAAUUAUUGGGCGUAAAGCGAGUGCAGGCGGUUGGGUAUGUCAGAUGUGAAAGCCUUCUGCUUAACAGAAGAAGUGCAUUUGAAACUGCUCGGCUAGAGUACGGGAGAGGAGAGUGGAAUUCCCGGUGUAGAGGUGAAAUUCGUAGAUAUCGGGAGGAACACCAGUGGAG